AGCAGAGGUGCAACAGAGGCAGGGAAGCAGCGAUGGAGGAGCAGGUGGAUCGGGAUGGCAGGUGGCUAGCGUGAUCCGCGGGUCGGGAUCAGCCUGGUCGGCAGCUGGCACGGCAAGAUGACGACCUACAAAAACAAACAAGAAAAGAGGAGAGAGAGGAACAGAGAAAACACUAGCACAAAAGCGAGGAAGAGACGGAGAACCGGGAAGAGAGAUAUCCGAGAGAGAGAAGUCGAAGGGGAGUUUUGGCUGCCAUCGGUGGUUCGUUCGUGAGUUGCUCUCCAUCGCGGCUCUUCUCGUUGAACCAAGCUACACAAGAUCCCAAGGAACCAGCUGCACACUGAAUUUUCCACUCGGUCCAAUCACACCCACUUUGGUCUUUUUGCCCUUUUGACUAAGUGCUUCUUUUGGGCCACCGACGGGCUCCUCUAGUGCGGUGAAGGAAGACUUCUGCGCAUAAGUGACGGACACCAAUGACUGGAAAUAUAAUAUUGAUUAUGGUAGAGAGUGACGACGGUGGUGCUGAACUGGAAACUUCGGGCAGCGACAACAGGAAGAGGUCCAGAGAUUUCCGGGACUGUUGGGAACAAUGACAGCGGAACUGCUGGAUGCUGCAACAGGGAUGCCAAGAAUGCGGAGGACUGAUCGCAGCUGUUUUUGCUGGGUUGGCCACGCGCACGCGACCGUCAGACAAUGAGGGGUGGCGGCAAGUCGUUGGUGAUGGGCAGUGAUGCCAAGUGACGGGACGUGCCAGCAGGAGAGGUAGAGGUGCACGAUGGACAAGCUGGCAGCAAGCGUAGUGACUGGUGAGGGACAGCCGUGCCGGCGUUCGUAGAAGGACAGGAGCCAGAGAUCAACAACAGCAAUAAGGCCUCGACAAUAUCAACGAGAAGGCGAACCAGACCACUGGACAAGAUCAGCAACGGUGUCAAGAAGUUAAACCACACUGGCGGAGGAGAACAAGCGAUCUCGAGCCGGAGAAUUUCAAGAACGAUGAACAGUUUCCUUUUUCUCUCACGUGUAUGGAUGACGUUGGAUCUAGACCUGAGGCUGCUAGACACCGACACCAAGAAUUGGCGGAAGUGGUGGUGAGACUUCUUCAACGCCGGGUAGGGGCUAGUGCAGGCGUCGCCUGAGGACGUUGCAGGGAGACCAGAGCCCGGCCCAGGUGGGGAGGAAAGAACGAAGGAGGGGCUGGGUCGGCC